rnacentral:misc_RNA from 1 species
CAGAGUUGCAAAACUCCCAAAACCAUCGCGAACCCUACCUUUUACCCGUUGCUUCGGCGGGCGGCGCCUCGUGCGCCCCCCAGGCCCCCCUCGCGGGGGCGCCCGCCGGAGGUACCUAACUCUUGUUGAUCAUACGGCCUCUCUGAGUAUUCUGUACUGAAUAAGUCA